UACAGAGGGUGCGAGCGUUAGUCGGAAUUACUGGGCGUAAAGCGAACGUAGGUGGUUUUGCAAGUCGAGUGUGAAAGCCCCGGGCUCAACCUGGGAACUGCAUUCGAGACUGCAUUACUCGAGUAUUGGAGAGGGCAGUGGAAUUUCCGGUGUAGCGGUGAAAUGCGUAGAUAUCGGAAGGAACAUCAGUGGCGAAAGCGACUGCCUGGCCAAAUACUGACACUCAAGUUCGAAAGCGUGGGGAGCAAACAGG
rnacentral:rRNA from 1 species